rnacentral:lncRNA from 1 species
ACAGUUUCAUUCGAGUUUUGCUGGGUAAUUCCCAUCGACUAUAAUAUAGAUAUUUCUUUAUAUAAUUUGUUUGUGAAGCUUAACAUUGAAAAAAGUAAACUUUGUCUAAUAUAUUCAAGCCUUUUAUGGUACUUUAUAUAUGAUAAGUAAUUUCAUUAUAAAUUAUGCAGGUGGGGAGACCUUGAAAUCUUUUGGUUUCUGAAGAAAUUAUUGGAAACAGUGUUUUUGUUUUACUUGUUUGACUCAAGAGGAUCAACAGAAGGUUCAGUCAUCGCCAUGGCAAAAGGACGGGGUAAGUUCAGUAGGAAAAAUUCAAUGAAUUUGAGGAAUUGCAAGCCUGGAAAACUAAGGCUUGAAAAGACGCAUUCAUUCAAGAAUCUAGU